CCUCUCACCUACCUACGAUACCGUUCAGCGAGAUUCAUGCUACAACAAACACUUAGGUGUCUCCCCUCUCACCUACCUACGAUACCGUUCAGCGAGAUUCAUGCUACAACAAACACUUAGGCGUCUCCCCUCUCACCUACCUACGAUACCGUUCAGCGAGAUUCAUGCUACAACAAACACUUAGGCGUCUCCCCUCUCACCUACCUACGAUACCGUUCAGCGAGAUUCAUGCUACAACAAACACUUAGGCGUCUCCCCUCUCACCUACCUACGAUACCGUUCAGCGAGAUUCAUGCUACAACAAACACUUAGGUGUCUCCCCUCUCACCUACCUACGAUACCGUUCAGCGAGAUUCAUGCUACAACAAACACUUAGGCGUCUCCCCUCUCACCUACCUACGAUACCGUUCAGCGAGAUUCAUGCUACAACAAACACUUAGGCGUCUCCCCUCUCACCUACCUACGAUACCGUUCAGCGAGAUUCAUGCUACAACAAACAAUUAGGCGUCUCCCCUCUCACCUACCUACGACACCGUUCAGCGAGA